rnacentral:rRNA from 1 species
CUAAUACAUGCAAGUCGAGCGAAUGGAUUAAGAGCUUGCUCUUAUGAAGUUAGCGGCGGACGGGUGAGUAACACGUGGGUAACCUACCCAUAAGACUGGGAUAACUCCGGGAAACCGGGGCUAAUACCGGAUAAUAUUUUGAACUGCAUAGUUCGAAAUUGAAAGGCGGCUUCGGCUGUCACUUAUGGAUGGACCCGCGUCGCAUUAGCUAGUUGGUGAGGUAACGGCUCACCAAGGCAACGAUGCGUAGCCGACCUGAGAGGGUGAUCGGCCACACUGGGACUGAGACACGGCCCAGACUCCUACGGGAGGCAGCAGUAGGGAAUCUUCCGCAAUGGACGAAAGUCUGACGGAGCAACGCCGCGUGAGUGAUGAAGGCUUUCGGGUCGUAAAACUCUGUUGUUAGGGAAGAACAAGUGCUAGUUGAAUAAGCUGGCACCUUGACGGUACCUAACCAGAAAGCCACGGCUAACUACGUGCCAGCAGCCGCGGUAAUACGUAGGUGGCAAGCGUUAUCCGGAAUUAUUGGGCGUAAAGCGCGCGCAGGUGGUUUCUUAAGUCUGAUGUGAAAGCCCACGGCUCAACCGUGGAGGGUCAUUGGAAACUGGGAGACUUGAGUGCAGAAGAGGAAAGUGGAAUUCCAUGUGUAGCGGUGAAAUGCGUAGAGAUAUGGAGGAACACCAGUGGCGAAGGCGACUUUCUGGUCUGUAACUGACACUGAGGCGCGAAAGCGUGGGGAGCAAACAGGAUUAGAU